UACGGAGGAUGCGAGCGUUAUCCGGAUUUAUUGGGUUUAAAGGGUGCGCAGGCGGCACGGCAAGCCGGCGGUCAAAUCGCGGGGCUCAACCCCGCCCAGCCAUCGGAACUGCCGGGCUAGAGUGGGCGAGAAGUGCGCGGAAUGCGUGGUGUAGCGGUGAAAUGCAUAGAUAUCACGCAGAACUCCGAUUGCGAAGGCAGCGCACCGGCGCCCUACUGACGCUCAGGCACGAAAGCGUGGGUAUCGAACAGG
rnacentral:rRNA from 1 species